CCUUCACCUUAGGAAUCCUAAGAAAAGACCAGUCGGCCUCCACACCAAGCCGUUUACAUACCUGAUAACUAAUAAUAUUGAGAUUAGGCAGUCUCCUCUCCUUAAAUUUCUCUGCCUCACAAACUGCGACAAUUUUAUUUACGACCUCAAACGACCCACUCCCGAACAACUCAUGCUCCGACACACCCUUCCUUCCUAUAAAACCUUAGACUUUGGACUCGAUGG
rnacentral:lncRNA from 1 species